GUAGCCUAUUCAAAAAAAUCAAUAGCUAUGUUGAGUGUGUCAUUAAAUAACCCUGAUUCAAUCAGUUGACGUUUAUUUACGUGAUAGCCCAGCUCACUACGCAUAACUAGAGCCUUUUGUGGUUUAACAAUACCUAAUAAAUGCGGUUAAACCUGUAUUACUGGUUAUUUGUAGGAGUUUCACACUGCGAGAGUAGUCUGUUAAAGCGUAGGAGCAGGAAACUUCACUUCAUUUAAGAUAAGACCUCACACACCUCACAGGAAGGAUAUACAGAGAGAGACACAUGUUGUACAUAUUAGGGAUUACCAUUGGCCUCAUUUGCAUCAUUAUAUGCUUUUCAAAUGGCCUAAAAGAGAGAAAUGCUUUGAUGCGCAGAAAUAAAGGUGGAAAUCCUCAAAAUCCUGAACACAAGGAAGCCAACAAGAAAAAGUUAACUGAACAAGACUAUCACUUGUUGGCCAAAAUCCUGUCGGUUGGAUUGGUAGACGCAGACCCCAAUUAUCUUCAACACCUCAGGGACUACAGGGACCUGCGUGGUAGCAAUUCCUGAAGGAUCCACACACCAGGAAAUGCACCAGGAAAUGUACGGCACAGUUAUUUCUGGAGCCAAUCACAUUUGGUACCAUGGAAAAUAUUUAUUUCUACGCAAGUUCAAGCUAUCCACCAAUAUCAAAAAACAUUAACAGACAAUGUGAGAAUGAAGAAGGAUCCACUCAUGGGCCCACAGUUGUCAUUGGAGUGAUGUGCUGCCCUUUUAUUUUGUUCGUUAAUUAUUGAAUAAUGAAAUGAUUAGUUGUAAAACUGCAUAUAUUAGUCUUUGCCCCAUGGCAAAAUGGGUAGAAUUGUAGGAACUGUGGUUCGCAGCUGCAUGGCGUUGGAGACUAUAAUAGCUCACAUACUGUUCAUGAUUUCCACUUAACAGAUAUGUACGAUAUAAAAGUGUUUAUACAGCUUCUGGAAACAUAAUGAUAUUCCAAUCUCAAGACAAAAAGUUAAAACAAUUGGUAAGAUAUUUUAUCACCUCGUGUAUACUUAUAUUCUCAUUUGGUCAAGUUGUAUCCAGAGAAUUAGAAAGUGGAAAAUUAUUGUUUUGAAACUUCCUGGUAGAAAAGGACUAAACCGAUCAACUGAGUUCUAUUUUUCCAUUGUGAUAUGCUGAUUACAUUUAUUUUAAAAAUAACAACUCUAUCUUCAUGAAACACAAACAUCAUAAGUUGAAGUAAUUUCAAUCUCUUUAAAUACUUUUGGUAGAGUAUCAUAUCACUGUUUUCCCACAAUAUCUUAGAGGCAGAUUUGUUAGUUAGAAACUGUUGUCAGAGGACAGUACAUAUCCCAAGACCCUGUGUGCAAUAUCUAUUCAUACACAUACAGUAUUUCUUGAGGUAUGUUGGGGAAAUCGGAGUGACAACAAUGUAUCAGGCCCCGGUGGUUUGAAAGAGGAACAUGGGCUGAAUUCACAAAAGGUUGGUGGCACCUUAAUUGGGGAAGACGGGCUCGUGGUAAUGGCUGGAGCGGAAUAAUUGGAAUGGUAUCAAACACAUGGUUUGAUGCCAUUCCAUUUACACCAUUUCAUACAUGAUUAUGAGUCGUUCUCCCCUCAGCAGCCUCCACUGGAGUUUCAUUUCCUUUUAGUAACCGUCUUGCCAUUUCCCAAAGUAAUAAGAGAGGUUUUUACAACAUUAGCACGGCAUUUCUACUUCUGACUUCAUGGCUCUAGCCUGCUGAGGUCACUCCCCAGAUGCAGUUGUUCAGGGUCUGUCUCAGAAGGUCAACAUUUUCACUACCGUUAUGUUGAAGAGGAAUAACCCCAACACACCAGAGGUGCUAAGGAGCCUGAGGAGAGGAUACACCCAAAGACCUUCCGCCAAGUAGAUAAAUAUCACCCUACAGAACAAGAGAGAUGGAGAAUGGAGGUGCAUCAGCGAAACAACAUACAGAACAAUGCAAGACUCUUAUUGUCAAUAUAUCGUAGGUGUAGUGGGUCAGCAUGCAUUUUCAAAUCAGAAUUAUAACCCAAUGAUCAAAUUACUUUGGAAUGGGGAUUAAAACUUCAAUCACAUGAUCAACAACA